UACGUAGGGGGGCAAGCGUUGUCCGGAAUCAUUGGGCGUAAAGCGCGCGUAGGCGGCCCGGUAAGUCCGUUGUGAAAGUCAAAGGCUCAACCUUUGAACGCCGAUGGAUACUGCCGGGCUAGAGUCCGGAAGAGGCGAGUGGAAUUCCUGGUGUAGCGGUGAAAUGCGCAGAUAUCGGGAGGAACACCAAUGGCGAAGGCAGCUCACUGGGACGGUACUGACGCUGAGACGCGAAAGCGUGGGGAGCAAACAGG
rnacentral:rRNA from 1 species